rnacentral:rRNA from 1 species
UACGGAGGGUGCAAGCGUUAUCCGGAUUCACUGGGUUUAAAGGGUGCGUAGGAGGGCAGGGAAGUCCGUGGUGAAAUCCUAGAGCUUAACUCUAGAACUGCCGUGGAUACUCUCUGUCUUGAAUCCCGUGGAGAUGAGCGGAAUAUGUCAUGUAGCGGUGAAAUGCUUAGAUAUGACAUAGAACACCAAUUGCGAAGGCAGCUCGUUACACGAAGAUUGACUCUGAGGCACGAAAGCGUGGGGAUUAAACAGG